rnacentral:misc_RNA from 1 species
GAUGAAGAACGCAGCGAAAUGCGAUAAGUAAUGUGAAUUGCAGAAUUCAGUGAAUCAUCGAAUCUUUGAACGCACAUUGCGCCCGCCAGUAUUCUGGCGGGCAUGCCUGUUCGAGCGUCAUUACAACCCUCAGGCCCCCGGGCCUGGCGUUGGGGAUCGGCGGAAGCCCCCUGCGGGCACAACGCCGUCCCCCAAAUACAGUGGCGGUCCCGCCGCAGCUUCCAUUGCGUAGUAGCUAACACCUCGCAACUGGAGAGCGGCGCGGCCACGCCGUAAAACACCCAACUUCUGAAUGUUGACCUCGAAUCAGGUAGGAAUACCCGCUGAACUUAAGCAUAUCGAUAAGCGGAGGA